UCCAUUCUUGGUGGACUGCAGGUGGCAGUAUUAACCUCAUUGUUUUAGAUGAUUUUUAGUGUUAACUACAUGUAUACAACAUAUUCAUUAGAUAAAACUGGGGAUAGAAUGAGUAUAAAUAACUACAUGACUAUUAUUUAUAUUUUGUGUAUGUGUGCAGGUGACCAGUAUAAAGACAGAUCUCGGUGGUCUUGGGGACGGGGUGGAGGAGUUCAGAGCUGUGUGUCGACAGCUGCAGUCUCUGAUGAGAAGGAUCCCAGACUGUGCUGAAGCUCCAUUUGAGAGUGAGGCUGACACCCUCAUGGACCGCUGGCUUGAUGUCACCGAGAAAGCAGACUGUCAUCUGGACAACCUUCAAGCUGGCUUCUCUCUUUGGGAAAAACUCCAACUGCUGGCUGGAGAGGUGGAGGGCUGGAGCGCCCAAAAGCUGAUGACACUUGCUGAGUCACACCCCUUUCAGACAGAGCAGGAUGUGUCUGCCAUGCAGGUAAAACCUUGUUUUGGUAUAACUUUUGGAUAAUAAUAUUGUGGAUGUUAACUGAACAUUUAUGGAAAGAAAUAUGAUAUUGUUAGUGAUAUUUACACUACCGUUCAAAGAUUUUUCUUUUAAAUAAAGGAUGCAUUAAAUUGAUCAAAAGAAAAUAAGGAAUAAAAUAUUUAUAUUUAUAAUAAAUGCUGUUCUUUGAACUUUGUCUUAAUCAAGGAAUCCAGAAAAAAAAUCUGUAUUAUGGGUUCCACAAAAAACUGCAGUUUUUAAUAAGAAUUGUUUCUUGAACAAAUCAGGAUGAACUCAGGAUACAAGAGGAGAACAUUGAAUAUGUCCAUCGCAGAUCUUCAGAGAUCCAGGAGCUGCUGCAGAGUCGCGAGCUCCCACUGGAGCUACAGGUGAUUGAGAGCCAGCUGAGGAAGAAGAUGGAAGAGGUGAAGGAGCUCUUUUCUGAGACCAGUGAUGUUUUUAGUCAGCUGGAAGCUGCCAAGGGGAAGGUGGCAUCUGAUAUUGCAGAUCACCUGUCCUCCAUUCAGACUAUUACAAAUGCACUGACCACAUCUGAGAGCCCUCUGGUCCUCAAAACAAUCCAGGGCUUAUCGGAGCAGUUGCAAGCGGAAGCAGGGCAGGCAGAUGCAUUACUGCAGCAGAUAAGUCUUCUGGCCAGCAUUGCAGGUCUAGAAAACCUGCAGACGCUGGCUGAAGAUGGAGCUCACCUUCGAGAACGCAUCUGCAUGGCCAGAGAGCUGGUCAUAGAGAAGAGAGAGCAAGCAAUUAACCCCAAUAGACCUGAAAAUCAAAUGGUCCAAGACCCUAAGCACAUCAAGCCCUUGAUUGAAAAAACAGAAGAUGCUGCGCCAGAGAUACAGUCUGAAACUAAUGGUAAAACAGAGGAACAGUCAAAGACACAAGAUGAGCUGAAGGACUUCAAAGAGCAGGCCUGCAGCUGGGCCAGUGAACUGCAUCUGAAGGUUUCUGAGGAUGUGAACAGAUGGGUAACACCUGAGGAGAAACUCACAGCAGUGCAGGAUGUGUGUGUUGAUCUUGGUCAGAGUAUGACUGAGGAGCUGAAGUGUGCAAUGUUAAUACAACAGAGCCACGAGGGUCUGGACUCUCUACAGGGUCGGAUAGAGGGCAGCUCUAAUGACUCAAAUGCAUUAAAGGUAAAAGAUGCAGCCAAAAACCAGUCACUCACAAUCAUACAUGCUCAAAUGUAAAAUACUGUACCACUAACUUACACUUUUGCUUUGUUUUAGAAAUGUAUUCGUUACUAACUCCUCAGCAGGGUUAUAGUUUCAUCGUUUUCAUAUUAGUAAUUUUCAAAAGUGUUGAAUAUUUAUC
ensembl:lncRNA